GAUGAACGCUGGCGGCGUGCCUAAUACAUGCAAGUCGAGCGAACGGACGAGAAGCUUGCUUCUCUAAUGUUAGCGGCGGACGGGUGAGUAACACGUGGAUAACCUACCUAUAAGACUGGGAUAACUUCGGGAAACCGUAGCUAAUACCGGAUAAUAUUUUGAACCGCAUGGUUCAAAAGUGAAAGACGGUCUUGCUGUCACUUAUAGAUGGAUCCGCGCUGCAUUAGCUAGUUGGUAAGGUAACGGCUUACCAAGGCAACGAUGCAUAGCCGACCUGAGAGGGUGAUCGGCCACACUGGAACUGAGACACGGUCCAGACUCCUACGGGAGGCAGCAGUAGGGAAUCUUCCGCAAUGGGCGAAAGCCUGACGGAGCAACGCCGCGUGAGUGAUGAAGGUCUUCGGAUCGUAAAACUCUGUUAUUAGGGAAGAACAUAUGUGUAAGUAACUGGGCACAUCUUGACGGUACCUAAUCAGAAAGCCACGGCUAACUACGUGC
rnacentral:rRNA from 1 species